rnacentral:rRNA from 1 species
GUGGGGAAUAUUGCACAAUGGGGGGAACCCUGAUGCAGCCAUGCCGCGUGUGUGAAGAAGGCCUUUGGGUUGUAAAGCACUUUCAGUAUGGAGGAAGUGAGCUGAGUUAAUAGCUUAGUUCAUUGACGUUACAUACAGAAGAAGCACCGGCUAACUCCGUGCCAGCAGCCGCGGUAAUACGGAGGGUGCGAGCGUUAAUCGGAAUAACUGGGCGUAAAGAGCUCGUAGGCGGUUUGUCAAGUCAGAUGUGAAAGCCCCGGGCUUAACCUGGGAACCGCAUUUGAAACUGACAGACUAGAGUACUGUAGAGGGAGGUAGAAUUCCAGGUGUAGCGGUGAAAUGCGUAGAUAUCUGGAGGAAUACCGGUGGCGAAGGCGGCCUCCUGGACAGAGACUGACGCUGAGGAGCGAAAGCGUGGGGAGCAAACAGG